GAAUAUAAAAUAAGACAUUGCCUCGAGGAAAAUUCUUAAUUAAUGAGAAAGCGUAAUUUAACUAUGCAUGAAUCUUGUAUGCAUGAACUAACAUUUUCGAACGAUAUUCGGAAAUUCUACUAUUAAUCCUCGUUAAUAAAUUUAACUAACUCUCAUUUAUCGCGGUCGAAUAAAGAUGUAACUCUUCCUUUCUCGUCGUAAUAUUCUAAAAGUAAAAUAAACCUCGCUUUUGUACUCGAUCGAAAAUAAAGAACUAACUCGGCUUUAAUCGAGGUGUGAUCUCAUAAAAAUUAUCGGGCUUUUCAAAAUUUAAUAAAUAAUUGAAAACAUUUCUCUUGAGUUAAGAAUACCAACAAUAUUCUUACUCGUCUUUCUUUAAUAAUUGGAUUUAUAAUUAAAAUCAAUUAAAUACUUUUAUUGCAAGUAAAAAUGCAAUUUCAUGUCAUGCUUAGCAUAUAAUAAGUAAUUUACUUAAAAUAUGCACAUAAUAAUAAUACAAUAUUAUUAUUAUGUAAAUCAUCUUUUGAGAAAGAUAAUUAAUUAAACUAAAUAAAUAGUCUAAUUAAUAAGUAUCCAUUUUUCUUUGAACUGCAGCCCAGUUAAAUAAUAAGGUAGCCCAUUUCUUAAAAAAAAAAAAAAAAAAAAAAAAAAACAUAAGCCCAAUAAUCAAUUAAGUGAAAGAGGCCCACUAAAAAGUUAGGCCCAACUGAAUUAAAUUAGGAAAGGCCCAAUUGUAGAAUAAAAUAAAUUAGGCCCAACUGGAACAAUAUUACUGGACUCAAAUAAUUAAAUAGAUCUAGGCUCAAAUAAAAAAAAAUAGCAGUCCAACUGAGAUAAAUAAUUCUGGGCUCAAUAAAAUUAUGUUGUUGGGUUCAAAUAAUUAAAAUAGGAAGCCCAAAUAAAGCAAGGUCCAUUUCUUCUCAAUUAUUCGGCCCAAUUGAAUAUAAAAAUAAAGGCCCAAAACAAUUUAAACAAAGCCCAAGCUUAAAAUUCGGCCCAAAAGAAAUUAGUGGCCCAAAACAUAGCCCAACUUAAAAAAAAAACAAAAGCCCAAACCUCUAUCUCUUUACUCAACUCUCGGUCUUCUUUUUUUUUUUUCUCACCCACACAAUUUCAUAACUCUCUCUCUCUCAAAGAAAUACACACACACAGACGCACGCUUCGGUUCUCUCUCUCUCUCGAUCCCUCUCCAGCCGAGGCGGGCGCCGCCGCCGCUGCCGGCGCGGCCGUGCCUGGCAGAGGGUGGCACACCUUGCCGUCUCACUCUCCUCUCUCUCUCAAGGAGUUGCUCGCCCCUUCCUCUCCAGCCUGCUCGCUCGGCUCCAUCCUCCGCACAGGUCGGCUCCUCCUACCCCGGCAGUGCAGCGGCAGUCGGCUCCGGUUGGCUUCGAUUUUCGACACUUCAAAUCAGCGUCGUUCUCUCUCCUCAGCGCAGAGCCCCCAAAAUCGUGCCCUAGAGUCAACUACCAGGUUGCUGCCGCCGUUGUCUGGAGCCAUCGCCGCCGUCUGGAGUUGCUGCUGCUCGUCCGAUGGUCAGCGCCGACUGCUGCUGCUUCGCCGGGAGUCGCCGCCGACUGGAGUUGCUGCUCUCGACCUUGCUCUCUGUUUCUCUACUCCCAAGUCAUCUCCCCCUUUCAAUCUAUGGAGCGGAGGAAAAUCCUUACUCCUAAUUCAGAAAUCGCCUCAGCUCGACGCCGCUCUACUAUGAAAUUCCGGCGAGCAGGAGAGUGUCCGACGCCCUCAUCGAUUCUCCGAUGAGUAGUAAAUCAGGGUAGGGCGGUGUCCGCUGCUCCCCUCUUUCACUCGUGUACACGAACGAGGGAAAGGCCGAGUUCUCGGUCCUCUUAGCUCAGGCGAGAGAGUCACCGCCGUCCACCUCUCGUUCGACGGAAUAGUCAAGUCGGCUCCUUCUCGGUACAUUGAAACAGGUGAGUAAGGAAUGAAUGGAGGUGAAUGGAGGAAGGUUGCUGCUGAAUUGUUUGCUUGAAGAAGUGUUGGCUAGUAGCUUUCAAGAAUCGAAGGUGGUGGGGAGAAUGUAGUGGAGGAAAGCAAAAGGUGGUGGGCAAAGGAUUGUAGUGCACACUUUUCCUUAUCUUAUCUUGCUUUGCAA